rnacentral:lncRNA from 1 species
AAGGCUUAACAGCCUUCCCUAUGGUUUCUUGGAGGGAUAACGAUUCAUUUCGAGAAGAAGCUCCAUGCUGGAAUGAAGCUGAAUGCCAGGAAGAAGUCCCAAGAAAAGCAUCAACAGAGAAGCAAACAAGAAGAAUCGUUUGUCACUUACAGGGGUUUAGAGGUGCAGAGGCCCAUUCACUCGAGGCCCAUUCACCAUAUUUAACACUCACGUUGUAGCACUGGAAUGUGGUAGAAUCUUGGAGGCAGAAAUAGCAAUAUUUACUUGGUUAUUUCUGGGCUGUAUUAAAAGAAGUGUACGGAGUGUCAAUAUGCAGUGUGUGAAAGUCGGGAAACAGGAGGAGGUUUGGAUGGUCGGAACUGUCGACUUUGUGUGGACUGUGUGCAUGCAUGUAGGUGGUAACAUGCUGAUGAACAGGAUGCCAGACGGGCAAAACAAAAGGCCAGACGGGCCAGCCAAACAAAAGGCCACACGGGUUAAGUUGAAAGCCAUACCGGCUUGUGAAG